AAGAGAGUAAUAUAUCGGUUAUAUGAUUGACUUGAAAUCAAUUUAAGGAGGUUCGAAUCCUUCCUUUCUUG
rnacentral:tRNA from 1 species